GACGAACGCUGGCGGCGUGCUUAACACAUGCAAGUCGAACGGAAAGGCCCUGCUUUUGUGGGGUGCUCGAGUUGCGAACGGGUGAGUAACACGUGAGUAACCUGCCCUUGACUGUGGGAUAACUUCAGGAAACUGGGGCUAAUACCGGAUAGGAGCUCCUGCUGCAUGGUGGGGGUUGGUAAGUUUCGGCGGUUGGGGAUGGACUCGCGGCUUAUCAGCUUGUUGGUGGGGUAGUGGCUUACCAAGGCUUUGACGGGUAGCCGGCCUGAGAGGGUGACCGGCCACAUUGGGACUGAGAUACGGCACAGACUCCUACGGGAGGGAGCAGUGGGGAAUAUUGCACAAUGGGCGGAAGCCUGAUGCAGCAACGCCGCGUGCGGGAUGACGGCCUUCGGGUUGUAAACCGCUUUCGCCUGUGACGAAGCGUGAGUGACGGUAAUGGGUAAAGAAGCACCGGCUAACUACGUG
rnacentral:rRNA from 1 species